UGGGAGGGGUUCGAGCCAGGCAGCCUGCGUGCUCCGGGGGCUGACGCAAUUGGAGAAUUUGGCUUCUUUUUAUCACAUAUAUCAUUUUGCCAUAUAUGGUCACCGAGAGCUACUGGCUGCGAGGCUCGGGCCCAGAUGGUGGGCUCCCAGAGCGAAGUGAGCCACAUACCAGCCCAGAACAAACAAGACCAUCGCUCACUCCGCUGGACAGGGAUGUCAAGGUUAACCCAGGCAGGACCAGCUCAGGGAGGAUCCUUGAGGUCGUGGAGAGAAAUGCUUUCGUUACACUGCUCGAUUUUAGUACCAAGCGCAUGGUGCCUCCCCCUUGCCCUCCGCCGUGCGCUGCCAGACGAGGGGUUUCAAAGCUUGCUUCUCCACAGAAUCAGCGCACGAAGCAAUGGUUGGCCCAAAGGAAGCAUUCACACGUACGGCGCACGAGUUAAAAAUCAAGAAACCGACUUUGAGAAACAAGACCCCUACAAGGCAAGACACAGACGCCCCUGGUUCCCGGUGCACAAAGGCUACACUCCCACGUUCCUGUCCUUCCCCCCUCCGUGAUUCCAGCACGAGGCAACUCUGCCUUUUUGCCUCACUGACUUGUUCUGUUGGCCACACUCCUCCUUCCCCUCUGAGAGAUCUGUGGCUCAGCUCUUUGGCCAUCCUUGGAACUCAUUUCCAGCACUUUCUGCAGUGCUGCCAAAGGAGCCAGUGGAGGGGGCCAUGGAGGCAUGGAGGCCAUUGGGGACACCAUAGGCUAGGUCUGAAGGUCAGGUCUGAAGGUCAAAGGGGCCAGUGCUUGCCAUGGUUCUGACCAUGAGGCUUCUUGCUCCAGGGCAGACAAGGGUCUCAGUAUGUUAUGGAGAAUGGGAAAUGUCAGCCACGAGACACCUCCCUGGGUGGAGGAGGAAGAAAUAGGUAAGGCAACCUUGGGAGGAACUCCUUUAAAGCUUCAGGAACCGGGUUCACCCAGAGAAUGGAGGUACUGGUGAGGCCCAGGUGAGGCAGGGGAUGCCAGGCAUGGGAGCAGCUCUGGUCUCCAGAUCCUCAUGGAUACGAUGGUCCAUUCUUUUUUUUUUUUUUUUUUUUAAGAUU